rnacentral:sRNA from 1 species
GCUGGGUGUGGUGGUGGCCCACGCCUGUCAUCCCAGUGGCUCGGGAGGCCGAGGCAGGAGGAUCGCAAGUUGGAGGCCAGCCUCCGCCACUUAGCGAGGCCCUGAGACCCUGUCUCUA